rnacentral:rRNA from 1 species
UACGAAGGGGGCUAGCGUUGUUCGGAAUUACUGGGCGUAAAGCGCACGUAGGCGGAUCGAUCAGUCAGGGGUGAAAUCCCGCAGCUCAACUGCGGAACUGCCUUUGAUACUGUCGGUCUAGAGUAUGGAAGAGGUGAGUGGAAUUCCGAGUGUAGAGGUGAAAUUCGUAGAUAUUCGGAGGAACACCAGUGGCGAAGGCGGCUCACUGGUCCAUUACUGACGCUGAGGUGCGAAAGCGUGGGGAGCAAACGGGG